rnacentral:tRNA from 1 species
GGGUCCAUCGUAUAAUGGUAGUACAUCGCUCUCCAAAAGCGACAGCCCAGGUCCGAUUCCUGGUGGGCCCG